UACGGAGGGGGCUAGCGUUGUUCGGAAUUACUGGGCGUAAAGCGCACGUAGGCGGCUUUGUAAGUCAGAGGUGAAAUCCCGGAGCUCAACUCCGGAACUGCCUUUGAGACUGCAUCGCUUGAAUCCAGGAGAGGUGAGUGGAAUUCCGAGUGUAGAGGUGAAAUUCGUAGAUAUUCGGAAGAACACCAGUGGCGAAGGCGGCUCACUGGCCCCGGUACUGACGCUGAGGUGCGAAAAGCGUGGGGAGCAAACAGG
rnacentral:rRNA from 1 species